UUUUCCUCUGCCUGUUUUUAG
rnacentral:piRNA from 1 species